ACUCCUACGGGAGGCAGCAGUGGGGAAUAUUGCACAAUGGGCGCAAGCCUGAUGCAGCCAUGCCGCGUGUAUGAAGAAGGCCUUCGGGUUGUAAAGUACUUUCAGUCGUGAGGAAGGUGGUGUUGUUAAUAGCAGCAUCAUUUGACGUUAGCGACAGAAGAAGCACCGGCUAACUCCGUGCCAGCAGCCGCGGUAAUAC
rnacentral:rRNA from 1 species